rnacentral:rRNA from 1 species
GACGAACGCUGGCGGCGUGCUUAACACAUGCAAGUCGAACGCUGAACCCGCUUCGGUGGGGGAUGAGUGGCGAACGGGUGAGUAACACGUGGGCAACCUGCCCCCGGCUCUGGGAUAACUCCAAGAAAUUGGGGCUAAUACCGGAUGUGACCGCUGGCCGCAUGGUCUGGUGGUGGAAAGGGUUUCCGGCUGGGGAUGGGCCCGCGGCCUACCAGCUUGUUGGUGGGGUAGUGGCCUACCAAGGCGACGACGGGUAGCCGGCCUGAGAGGGUGACCGGCCACACUGGGACUGAGACACGGCCCAGACUCCUACGGGAGGCAGCAGUGGGGAAUAUUGCGCAAUGGGCGGAAGCCUGACGCAGCGACGCCGCGUGGGGGAUGACGGCCUUCGGGUUGUAAACCUCUUUCAGCAGGGACGAAGCGCAAGUGACGGUACCUGCAGAAGAAGCACCGGCCAACUACGUG